UACGUAGGGUGCAAGCGUUAAUCGGAAUUACUGGGCGUAAAGCGCGCGUAGGCGGCUUUGCAAGCCGGAUGUGAAAUCCCCGGGCUUAACCUGGGAAUGGCAUUUGGGACUGCAAGGCUUGAGUGCGGCAGAGGAGACUGGAAUUCCUGGUGUAGCAGUGAAAUGCGUAGAUAUCAGGAGGAACACCGGUGGCGAAGGCGGCAUCCUGGACCGACACUGACACUGAGGAGCGAAAGCCAGGGGAGCAAACGGG
rnacentral:rRNA from 1 species